rnacentral:lncRNA from 13 species
AAAUUCUGAAAUUUUUUUAACUAAAUUAAAACAGAUGAUAUUAAAUGUAAUAAUUUUAAUAGAAUGAAAGUUAGAAAAGCAUAACGUGUUUUUUCUAAUGACUUGAGUAGCUCUUUUCAGUUAUUAGCAGAUGAAAAUGAUAAGCCUGAGUAUGUCACUACUGCCUGGUUUGUUAGAAUUGUAUCUAAAUGGUUUUCUCGUGUAACAUCCAGACAUUGCAAAUUAGCUCUUGGCACAAAAAAUGAAAAUGUUUAUAAUAAAAAUAUUAAUUUUUUAAAUGAAAUUAUUGAUAUUUUUGCAAAAUUAAAAACAGGCAAGGGAGAUUUCAAACCGGUACAAAGAGUCGGUUCAUUCAGGAUUGUGUGAACGUCUCGGUUCAUUCAGGAUUGUGUAGAAAACCUCUUUUCACAAAUUCGCCAAAAAAAUAUACCAAAUCCGUUACAAUUUACGAAUGAUUUAAAAUUAAUCUCUAUCGUAAUGUAUAUGAAACUAUAUAAUAAAUAAUAGUAAUUAUGAAAAUAAUGAUCAAGAAUAUCUUUCAGGAUUUAUUGAAUAUUCAUCAGGAAAACAAGACAAUGAACAUGUGGUGGAAUCGAAUAAUAAUAACACUGUAGUUGAUAUUGAUACAAUUUUACCUUAUAAAAGAAUACAAUAAAAAAUUUCACAAGCGUUGAGUUAAAUUCACUGUAUAACAUUGCUGAAUAUAUUAUAAGAUCAAUUAUAAAAAUAUGUAAAACAUGCAUUGAUUGUAUAAACUCUGUAAAAUCAGAAUCUUUAUUACAAUAUUCUUUUACGAAAUAUGUUCAAUUUGAAUGUUACAAUAAGAGUUCAUUAUUUUUUGUAAACAUUAAGACAUUCAAAGCAUUUAUAAUAUUAGAAAAGAUGUUCCGACAUUAUUGUAAAUAUUUUGAUAAUAACAAUAUUGAUUAGAAGAAUUUUUUAAUUAAUAAAUUUAGUCAGGUUUUCGCAGAUCAUGUAUUAAAUUGUCAUCAAUUAGUUUUUAAAAUAAUUAAAAGAUUUAUAUUAUUCAGAUUGAGGAUAAUGAACAAAAAAAUGUUGAUAAUAAUUGUAAGCGUUACGAUAGUAAAUCUAUAGCUGUACACACAUCUUUUAAAUAAAUUUUGCAAAUUUGAAA